rnacentral:rRNA from 1 species
GACGAACGCUGGCGGCGUGCUUAACACAUGCAAGUCGAGCGGUAAGGCCUCUUCGGGGGUACACGAGCGGCGAACGGGUGAGUAACACGUGGGUGACCUGCCCUCAGCUCUGGGAUAAGCCUGGGAAACUGGGUCUAAUACCGGAUAUGACCUUUCCUCGCAUGGGGUUUGGUGGAAAGUUUUUUCGGCUGGGGAUGGGCCCGCGGCCUAUCAGCUUGUUGGUGGGGUGAUGGCCUACCAAGGCGACGACGGGUAGCCGGCCUGAGAGGGCGACCGGCCACACUGGGACUGAGACACGGCCCAGACUCCUACGGGAGGCAGCAGUGGGGAAUAUUGCGCAAUGGGCGGAAGCCCGACGCAGCGACGCCGCGUGGGGGAUGACGGCCUUCGGGUUGUAAACCUCUUUCGACCCCGACGAAUUUGGACGGUAGGGGUAGAAGAAGCACCGGCCAACUACGUG